rnacentral:rRNA from 1 species
AGUCAGAGCCCGUUAAUGGGUGAUGGCGUGCCUUUUGUAGAAUGAACCGGCGAGUUACGAUUUGAUGCAAGGUUAAGCAGUAAAUGUGGAGCCGUAGCGAAAGCGAGUCUGAAUAGGGCGUUUAGUAUUUGGUCGUAGACCCGAAACCAGGUGAUCUACCCUUGGUCAGGUUGAAGUUCAGGUAACACUGAAUGGAGGACCGAACCGACUUACGUUGAAAAGUGAGCGGAUGAACUGAGGGUAGCGGAGAAAUUCCAAUCGAACCUGGAGAUAGCUGGUUCUCUCCGAAAUAGCUUUAGGGCUAGCCUCAAGUGAUGAUUAUUGGAGGUAGAGCACUGUUUGGACGAGGGGCCCCUCUCGGGUUACCGAAUUCAGACAAACUCCGAAUGCCAAUUAAUUUAACUUGGGAGUCAGAACAUGGGUGAUAAGGUCCGUGUUCGAAAGGGAAACAGCCCAGACCACCAGCUAAGGUCCCAAAAUAUAUGUUAAGUGGAAAAGGAUGUGGCGUUGCCCAGACAACUAGGAUGUUGGCUUAGAAGCAGCCAUCAUUUAAAGAGUGCGUAAUAGCUCACUAGUCGAGUGACACUGCGCCGAAAAUGUACCGGGGCUAAACAUAUUACCGAAGCUGUGGAUUGUCCUUUGGACAAUGGUAGGAGAGCGUUCUAAGGGCGUUGAAGCAUGAUCGUAAGGACAUGUGGAGCGCUUAGAAGUGAGAAUGCCGGUGUGAGUAGCGAAAG